GAAAUGCGAUAAGUAAUGUGAAUUGCAGAAUUCAGUGAAUCAUCGAAUCUUUGAACGCACAUUGCGCCCCUUGGUAUUCCGGGGGGCAUGCCUGUUCGAGCGUCAUUUCAACCCUCAAGCUUUGCUUGGUCUUGGGCACUGCCGGAAACGGCUUGCCUUAAAAUCAGUGGCGGUGCCAUUCGAGCUCUACGCGUAGUAAUAAACCCCUCGCGAUUGAGUCUUGGUGGAUGCUUGCCAGCAACCCUCAAAUUUUUUAUGGUUGACCUCGGAUCAGGUAGGGAUACCCGCUGAACUUAA
rnacentral:misc_RNA from 1 species